CGUCUGACUAGACUUUCUGUCGAAGCAAAUAAAAACUAAUUCAGAAGCGAAGCGGCGACUAGGGCGACAGCCAGCGCUUUCUUCUGCACUUCUGGACGCACAUCACGUGACCUAACGGAGAUCUUUUGGCGCGCUUCCGUGCUUCAACCUGUGCCUGGACUACGUACGGUGCCUCAACGCCGAAGGAUUUAUCUGCUUUUGUUACGUGUGUUCGGUGUUAUCUGCGUCGUUCCCUUCGACGAGGGCACGGCGAAAAGCUUCGAGCAACAACGCCCUGUCCCAGGAAAAAGGCACAGCGACGUUCGUCAGGCGAGCAGGAUGCGGCCGCCGCGGCCGAAACCCAACCAGCGACGUCGAGCUCGGCGGCGCAAGGCCACCGCGGCGGGUCCGUCUGGAUGUCUGGCACCCCGGAACGUCACGAUGAGACAUCGCAUUUUAAACAUGGCCGUCCGGCCCCACCACCACCACGACGACGACUAGCUUGCUCAACAGGCGCGUUGGGCGCCGGCUUCCCGGGGCCUCGGCGCGAGACUCCCGAGGAAUUUCCGUGUCCGCCGCCCGCGUCGUGCAAAAAAGCGUUUCGACACCGUCUCGUGAGUCACGCGCUUCCUCGCGUAUAACGUCAAGGGCGCGCGACAUUCGCGUGAUAUCAUGCACAUCGUGGGCAUGAUAAUUGACAUGACAAAUGUCAAUUAUCAUGCCAAUGACAGAUGCCUUCAUUCUUUUGCGAUUUCCGUCUCACAUUGUGACUGUUUUGCUGACUUGCUUUUGCAUUCUAUUCAGUGUGCCUCUUAGCUUUUUGUUGUUGUUUUUGUUUGUUUGUUUUAAUGCGAAUC